UGGGUUUAGUCGGUUGUGGUUGUU
rnacentral:siRNA from 1 species